UCCCUAGUGGCUCAGAUGGUAUAGCAUUUGUCUGCAAUGCAGGAGACCUGGGUUCGAUUCCUGGGUUGGGUA
rnacentral:tRNA from 1 species